rnacentral:snRNA from 1 species
AUCACUUCUCAGGCUUUUGGCUAAGAUCAAGUAUAGUAUCUGUUCUUAUCAGUUUAAUAUCUGAUACAUCUUCUAUCAGAGGACAAUAUACUAAAUGGGUUUUUGGAGUAGGGAGAUGGAAAAAGGGCUGGCUCUGUCCACUCCAUGCAGCAACCUGGUAUUGUUGUACCUCCAGAAACAGUACAGGAAAA